GGUGGUUCAGUGGUAGAGCACUUGCCUUGCAUGCAGGAGGCCCUGAGUUCAAUUCCUCAACACCA
rnacentral:tRNA from 1 species